UGAGUGCUGUGGCUCAGGGUGUCUCUCC
rnacentral:piRNA from 1 species